CAGCCACUGGUUCGGGCCGCGGUCGCGCUGGUUGGGGCCCGGCGGCAGGGUGUGCACCAGCCGUUCGAGCUCGAGGUGGAUGUC
rnacentral:tRNA from 1 species